ensembl:lncRNA
ACCCCAAAUGCUACUCUUAUUUUUCCCACUUUACGCAUUAGAAAACCAACAUCUAAAGAUGUGGAGUCACUUAGUCUGUGUGCCCAGUUGGACUUGAUGCAGAAAUUCCAAGCGCCGCCAUGCAGCCCAGCAACCUUUCGCAGGCUGAGCCCUAAGCCCGUGACGUUGAGGCCCACCUCAGCACACCCCCUUCCUCUCUGCCUAUCCAGAUUCCCUCUAUACCUGAAGCCCAAGUCAGAGCCUUCUUUUCCUUCUGCAGCCUUUCUGCAGCACUCACGCCCUCCCAAGCUGCCAUUUCCUGGCAAACCACUGGGAUAGUUAUUUCCCCAUUGACAAGUCAGUAUGCACUCCUGAACGGCCUUUCAAGUGAAGACUGUGGCUUAGUCAUGGCCAGGGGUAUCAGGAAGAGCAGCACGCCUUGCUCUCUGACAGAGGGCAUAGGACAGUUUCAUAAUCAGCUAUAGUACAAAGCAAUGGACUGUGUGCGGCAGCAGGAUGCAAGGAGCGCUUAACAGAUCUACUGGCAAAUAUGCCGGAUUCGGGACAAGACUUAACCAGACAGGAGAUAAGAACAACAAAUGGAAGAGAGUCCCAGCCAGGGCAGUGGAGCUGGCGGCAGGAAAUGCAGCCAAGUCCCAGGCAAUGACCAGAGCAGUGGGCCUCCGUGAUGCUCAGCCAUAUAACAUGUCACAGCUGAACUGGAAUCAUGAGUUUGACUAUGAUGUAUCUGAUCCUGGUCAGUAUGUAUCAAAGCCUCCAUUGAAGAUGAGGCUCAAUCAUAAUUAAGUUUAUCCCUUUAAAAAUGAAUGAAUCUCAGGUUCCAUUAGGUAUACUGCAAGCUUGCCAGUCUUAUUGAUUCUCAGUUCUCAAUUAUAGUGAUUCUAGCCUCAAAACCUUAUAAAAUACUUUUUAUAACAAAAGACUAAGGACAUAACAAGAAGCUAUGAGCUAUAAAUCUUCUAUGUAUUUAUGACAGAAUUUGAGGCUUUACUUUUUUUUUUUUUCAAGAUUCAUUUAUUCAAAAGGCAGAAAGAAAGGGGGGGAAAGAAAGAGAGAGAAAGAGAUCUUCCAUCUGUUGAUUCACUCCCCCUAAAUGCUCACAAUAGCUAUGGGUAAGUCAGACAGAGGCCAGGAACCAGGAACUCCAUCUGGGUUUCGCACAGUCAUGGCAGGAGCCCAAGCAUAUGGGCCAUGGUUUCCUGCCUCCCAGGUGCGUUAGCAGGAAGCUGAAUUAGAAGAAUAGCUGAAGCACUCCAGCAUGGGAUAUAGGCAUCCCAAGAGGCAGCUUGAUCCACUAAACACAAUGUCCACCCUUGUUUUUGUUUUUAUUAUUAAUUUUUUAUUAUUUAUUAUUUAUUUUAAAAAGGGACAGACGGAUCUUCCACCUGCUGAUUCACUCCCCAAAGCCCACAACAGCAAGGACUGGGCCAAGCUGAAACCAGGAGCUCAGAACUCAGGCUAGGUCUCCCACAUGGGUGGCAGGGACCCAAUUACUUGAUCCAUCACCUGCUGUCUGCCUGCCAGGAUGUGCAUUAGCAGAAAGCUGCCACCAGAAAUGGAGCUGGGGGGCCAGUGCUAUGGCAUAGC